ensembl:lncRNA
ACCCGGACCAUGUGCCACAGGCGUCCUACAGCCCGUCACAGCUGCCAGCUGUGGAAACGGCAGUGCUUCGGAGAGGUGUGCUGCCACAGGCGAAGUCCGUGGAGAGCGUGAACUCACGAUGCCAGGAGACCCGGAGGAUGGCCCCAGGUCUCCGUGGUCGUGGACCGGUGACUCCGGUCCAUCCGACAUCAUCUCCAGGUCUCCCUGCUCACCCUGCCAGUACAGCUGUGGCCCCGGCCCUGACCAGGAAGCCUCAGAGAGGGAGGAGCCUGGUUGCACUCUCCGAGGGGAGCGUGUCGGAACUUCCGCGGGUGGGAGGAGGAGACCUGGGAGGACGGAGCGCAGAAUGAGGCAGAAGGAGCGAAUAAGGGAAGAGAGAAAAACAAAGGUGCUGAACAUCUACUCCAAGCUCCAGGACAGAGGUGCCCUCCAGCCGAGCCACAACCGGGGGCGCUCCAAGUUCGAGGACUUCAACUUCUUGGCAAAGUAUUGCAUUUUCAGCCAGGAGAAACUGACAGAAUACAAAAGGGCUUUUGAAGCGGUGGACAGUGACAGAGAUGGUUACAUCUCCUGCUUGCAAGUGCUGUUGGGACUGAAGAAGAUCAUCCCUUCAGAACUGCUGUCUGAUGAGGAAGAGAUCUACGUCUACAGAAUACUCGAAAUGGUGGAUUUCAGGGUGACAGAUGGACUUACAGACCUGCGGCUCUUUGCGGUGAUUGCCAGUCUGGCACAGAAAAUAGCCACCAUGGAUGUGUUCAUGCGUUCCCUUAUAAGCAAAAUGGACUUUCGUUCUUUGGAGUUGAAGCUUUACAAGGCAAAGCAGCUGUUCCUGUUCCUGCUGGAGGGGCAGUCAGGAGGCUCUGUAGCCCAGCAAGGCUGUAUCAGCGCAGAGCAGCUCCUGGUGGAGCUGAAGGCCGGGGGCGUCCGACCGGAACAAGAGGAAGCCAUCAAACAGGAGCUCCAACACGUCGGCUCCCUGGACCUGCUGGACUUCCUGGCGUACCUGCCCCUCUUCCUCCUCAUCCACAACUCGGUCAUCACCAACCCACUGGAUGACUCCAGCAACCUGUGAUGUCAUCCUUUACCCAGGGUGGACUCAGUUCUAUUGUAUCCUGCCUCUACACGGUGGUUACAAAGUUACACGCUCACUUGCUGAAGAUCGUCCUCCUUUUUUUUUCCCCCUUCUUAUUUUAGUAGUUGGGAACACUUUUAAUGUUGUUGGGUUUUUUUUGUGUGUCGUCUGAGGCGUUUCUUCAAAAGGGCUUUGGAAACUCCCUUUGGAAUAUGUAUUUAGAAAUGACCUACCCCUGUGCUUUGGGCUACAGAAGGUGGACAUUUAGGCUUGAGAAUGGUGCUGUCUAUGGUACUGAAAUAUGUGGGGCUUUUCAAUUGCAGUUCAUGUUGAACAAGUAAUUCACUGAAUACGGCCAUAACAGGUUUAGACUCUAAUAAGGAUGUGUUGCUAAUUGUCUGCCAAAUGUUAAAAUGCGGCCACAAAUUGAAAAUCAUGCAAAACCUGCUGUUGAUAUGAGCGUCUGAUUUAUGCCAGACCCUUGCACUGUUUAUUCCGACGGGAAUAUGAUGGCUCACAACUUCAGCAUCUUGAUGAUGUGCCAUUAUCAAAAUAAAAAAGGGCAAGUGUAGUCUAACCUAAAUCUCCUAUGUGUUUUCAAUCUCUUAGCUUAAGGUGAGAGCGUCCGGAAAGAAAUUGCUGAUUAGAUAUGGCAGUGUGCUCUUUAUUUUCCAUCACGCUUCACAGAGUCGGUGAGGAAAGCAUUAAUGCACUCUGACAGGCGGUUACGGAAUUGUUCGGACCAUUCAUUGCUUUUUUCGGGUGGCUGUUUCAUACAAAUGCUAUAAUGCCUAAUAAGGGUACCAAAGAGCGCCGCAAAUAUUGCCGGUUUUUUCUUCUUCUUGCAAAUAGCAGAUGUUGUUGCUGGUGUAGUUUCAGUGCCUUAACAACACAGUUGACUUACUCUAACAUUUAAAAUCUCUACACAAGUACAAUUUACAAAUGUUCAAAUGGAUCAUCAAAAUGGCAGUCUACCCAUAUAUCAGUCCAAGCAAGAUAGUAAAAAUCUAAAUCUACUUAACAAGGCAGAAAUAAAUGGAAAGGGACUAGCAUUCAGUACCAGUGUCCACAAUAAACGUGAGACAGUAGCGUGGAGCGAAUGGGUGCAUGCUGGUGGUAGAUUAUGCAUGUGUACAUUGAGUGUGGGUGAUUGAGUUAUUGAGAGAGAGGGUGUGUUAGUUGAGUGUGUGUGAUUGUGAAUGCGAUGACUGCGUGUAAAUGAGCUGGUUGUGUAUGUGGCCCUAGGGUGCAGGUUAGAGUGCAGGGCGGAAAGGUACAAUCCCAUUUCCAAAAGAGUUGGGACGCUGCGUAAAAUGUAAAUAACAACAAAAUGCAAUGAUGUGCAAAUCAUUUCACCCCUAUAUUUAAUAGAAAAGAGUACAAAGACAACAUAUCAAAUGUUGAAACUGAGACAUUUUAUUGUUUCUUGAAAAAUAUAUGCCCACUUUUAAAAAGCUGGGACAGAGGCAACAAAACACUAGAAAAGUUGUGUAAUGCUAAAACUAAACCUGGUGGAAUAUCACACAACUAAUUAAGUUAUUUGGCAACAGGUCAGUAACAUGAUUGACUAUUAAAAGAUCAUUCCAGAGAGGAUGGGUCUGUCAGAAGUGAGGGGUUCACCACUCGGAAAGACUGCGCAGGCAAAUAGUGCAACAAUUAAAAAAUAACCUUUCUCAACGUAGCAUUGCAAAGAGUUUGGGGAUCUCAUCACCUACGGUACAUAAUAAUAUAAAAAGAUUCAGACAACCUGGAGAAAUCUUUGUCUGCAAGGGACAAGGCCAAAAACCAAUUUUGGAUGGUCAUGAUCUUCAGGCCCUCAGGCUGCACUGCAUUAAAAACAGACACAAUUCUGUAGUGGAAAUCACUGCAUGGGCUCAGGAACACUUACAAAAUCCAUUGUGUGUGAACACAGUAUGUCGCUGCAUCCACAAAUGCAAGUUAAAACUUCACCAUGCAAAGAAGAAACCAUACAUAAACAACUUCCAGAACCAUUGUUGCUUUCUCUGGGCCCAAACUCAUUUAAGAUGGACUGAGGCAAAGUGGAAAACUCUCCUGUGGUCUGAUGAAUCCAAAUUUGAAAUUACAUUUUUGAAUCAUGGAUGCCGGAAUCAUGGAUGCCUCUGGACUAAAGAGAGGGACCACCCAGCUUAUCAUCAGUGCACAGUUCAAAGCCAGCAACUGUGAUUCUAUGGGGGUGCAUGUGGCAUGGGUGAGUUGCAAUUAUGUGAAGGCACCAUUAAUGCUGAACAAUGUAUGCAGGUUUUGGAGCAACAUAUGCUACCACCCAGAUGAUGUCUUUUUCAGAGGAGGCUUUGCUUAUUUCAGCAAGACAAUGCUAAACCACAUUCUGCACAUAUUACAACAGCAUGGCUCCAUAGUAAAAGGGUCUGGGUGCUAAACUGGCCUGUCUGCAGUCCAGACCCGUCACCCAUUGAAAACAUUUGGCACAUUAUGAAACGAAGAAUAUGACAAAGGAGACCCCGAACUGUUGAGCAGCUGAAAUCCCAUAUCAAGCAAGAAUGGUAAUACAUUGCACUUUUCAAAACUACUGCAAUUUUUCUCCUCAGUUCCCAAACGCUUGCUGAGUAUUGUUAAAAGAGCUGAUGCAACACAGUGGUAAACCUGUUCUGUCCCAACUUUUUUUGAAACAUGUUGCUGGCAUCAAAUUCAAAACAAUAACAUUUCUGUUUAAACAUUUCAUAUGUUUUCUUUGUACUAUUUUCAAUUAAAUAUAGGGAUAAAUGGUUUACACAUCAUUGAAUUUUUUUGCUGCAUUUUAUGCAGCAUCCCAACUGACCAAACUUAACAUUUCUUAUUCUUCUUUCCAUUAAAUGUCAAACAGUAAAAUGUAAGCAAACUUUUAAACUGAAAUUUUUUCUCUAUGGCAAAAUGCAUGUGGCUAUCCAAACCCAGAGCCACUAGGGUACAUCCCAAAUGUUUUAUUUUUGUGCGCCCCACCUUUGGCCUUGAGGCUUUAUUUUUCAACAAGCUCUACUAAAAUGAAUGUAGGCCUACAGAAGCCCUGCCCUGGAAGAUAUUUUUGUGAUUGUAUUUAACCGAAUAAAUCGUUAAUGUAACAUGAGCUAUGCAGUUCAUUUCUGUCAUGGAAUGCUUUAUAGAAUUGUGGUAAAAUCACAGGUUAAUAAGUG